rnacentral:rRNA from 1 species
AUUGAACGCUGGCGGCAGGCCUAACACAUGCAAGUCGAACGAGUGGCGGACGGGUGAGUAAUGUCUGGGAAACUGCCUGCUGGAGGGGACUAACUCCUGGAAACGGUAGCUAAUACCGCAUACCAUCAGAUGUGCCCAGAUGGGAGUAGCUGGUUGGUGGGGUAACGGCUCACCAAGGCGACGAUCACUAGCUGGUCUGAUGGGAGAACCAGCCACACUGGAACCGAGACACGGUCCAGACUCCUACGGGAGGCAGCAGGGGGGAAUAUUGCACAAUGGGCGCAAGCCUGAUGCAGCCAUGCCGCGUGUAUGAAGAAGGCCGUCGGGUUGUAAAGUACUUUCAGCGGGGAGGCGUUACCCGCAGAAGAAGCACCGGCUAACUCCGUGCCAGCAGCCGCGGUAAUUC